UUCUGAUAAGCAGAUAGACUUCCUUGAUGUAUGUAUUUCACAAACCAAGGAAGGUUUUUCAUCCAGUCUACACAGAAAGGAGUGUUGGAAGAACACUCUGUUGUGCUAUGACAGUAUGCACCCUCGCUUUACAUUUCCUAAUAUUGUCCAAGGUCAGAUUAGUAGGACAUCCAGGCUAUGCCUAGAUGAUGUCCAAUAUGAAAAAGAG